rnacentral:rRNA from 1 species
CUGCAGCCCGAGUGGUGAUCGAUUUUAUUGAGCCUAAAGCGUCCGUAGCCGGACUAGUAAACCCUUGGGUAAAUUGGGCAGCUUAACUGUCCGAAUUCCGAGGGGACUGCUAGUCUUGGGACCGGGAGAGGUCAGAGGUACUCAAGGGGUAGGGGCUAAAUCCUGUAAUCCUUUGGGGACCACCAGUGGCGAAGGCGUCUGACUAGAACGGAUCCGACGGUAAGGGACGAAACCCUGGGGCGCGAACAGGAUUAGAUACCCUGGUAGUCC